rnacentral:rRNA from 1 species
AACGAACGCUGGCGGCAGGCUUAACACAUGCAAGUCGAGCGCCCCGCAAGGGGAGCGGCAGACGGGUGAGUAACGCGUGGGAAUCUACCGUGCCCUACGGAAUAGCUCCGGGAAACUGGAAUUAAUACCGUAUACGCCCUACGGGGGAAAGAUUUAUCGGGGUAUGAUGAGCCCGCGUUGGAUUAGCUAGUUGGUGGGGUAAAGGCCUACCAAGGCGACGAUCCAUAGCUGGUCUGAGAGGAUGAUCAGCCACAUUGGGACUGAGACACGGCCCAAACUCCUACGGGAGGCAGCAGUGGGGAAUAUUGGACAAUGGGCGCAAGCCUGAUCCAGCCAUGCCGCGUGAGUGAUGAAGGUCUUAGGAUUGUAAAGCUCUUUCACCGAUGAAGAUAAUGACGGUAGUCGGAGAAGAAGCCCCGGCUAACUUCGUGCCAGCCGCCGCGGUAAGAC